ACUCAAGCUAGGAGGAUCAAAAAAGAAAUACAAAGGUUUGGCAAAGAAGCUCAUGGGACGAGGAAUAAAAGGCAAAAAAAUAGAUUUGAAACAAGACCUAAAGAUGUUCAACAUGAUCCAAAUAUUUCCAAGUGAAGACCAAAUAUGAAAAGGGCUAAUUUUGAACUUUGGGAGGUGCUAAAGAGGCCUUUGGGUCGUGGAAAAAGAUAUUUAGCUUAUUUAAUUGAUGGGCCCAAGCCCAACUAAGCUUAGUUGUUUCUCUAACUAUUAAUAAUCUUUAUCUUGUCAUUAGGAGGGGAAUUUUUGAAUAGAUGAAUAUUUCAUAAGCAACCUUGUUGCUUAUGGAGACCUUUGAGGUUCUCUUUAGGGUUUUGCUCCUUUUGUUCUACUUUGAAUCAAAGCUUGGAUGUCUUUAAUGAAUAAGGAAGAAUCGCGGGAGAACAAAUAAUCAUAUUGGGCAAAACUAUAUGAAUCAUUACAAUGAAGGAUGUGGUAUAGAUAGAUAUCUGAGUUACCAAGAAAUGUUAUAGAUGAUAUCUUGAACCGCAUGGUCAUCAAAGAAAUAGCAAGGUGAGUGUCUUGUUACAAAAAUGAAAUCGUAUAUGGUCUACUCAUUCAAUCCUUGUGUUUGAUUGUCAGUACAAUGAGAAAAUAAAAUACCAAAAUCUAUUAUCAUUCUAGUCACUUUUGAAUUCAAAAACAUUGUCAGCAAAAUCCUCUUGCAACACAAUGACCUUACUAUCAAGUUUGUCCUUGACAUGUCAAGUGUUGAUUUAGACGAUUGAGACAUCCAUCAUUUGCUACGAUAUAUCUCUAACAUUUUUCUGAGUUCCUUAAAAAUUCUAUUGGAGAACUUUUAGGGUUCUCGUUAGGGCAAGUCGGUGGUCGUCUACUAGACAAAGCUGGAGAUGGAGGUCGGCCGAGCUUUCAAAAUUCUGUGCAUCAGCUUUUGCCGUUAAUUAUGCAUUUAUAGAGUCAGUGAAGAAUAACCUGUUGUUGCGACUGCAAAAUUAAUGAAUCAGUAUUAGAACCCUGCUGCUGUUGAUAAUUGGGAUACGACAAAAACAUUUUUUAUGUGUGAUUUAUUUAACCAACAUCACCCAAGUGACCCUUUGUAUGACUUGCUAUGUCUUGGCUUGAAGUCAAGAUUCUUGCACGAAGGUUGCAUUGGUACAUAUACCUACCUGGCCCAUUUUGUCCCUGUAUUUUGAAGAAUUUUUGGUACAAUUUUAGGCUGUUAGUUUUCAAGUGUUGCUCGUCAUUUUAGGGAAUUGCUCAUCCUUCGGUCUCUCAUCAAUAAUGUUUCUUGGACAUCUAUAACUUUGUUUUGAAGAUGAUAGACAAAAUGUUAGAUUUUUCAAGAAACGUCAUAGAUGAUAAACAGAAUGAUGAAACUCUCUAAAUUGAUGAGCAACUCUUGAAAAGUAACAGCCUAAAAUUGUACAAAACAUUCUUCAAAUGUAGGGACAAAAUGGGCUGAGGGGGUAUAUAUACCAAUGCAUCCAUUGUGCAAGAAUCUUAGCUUCAAUUCAAGACAUAGCAGACUAUUCAAAGGGUCACUGGGUUAAAGGAACUGCCUAAAAAAAUAUUUUUGUCAUAACCCAUUUAUCAACAGCAACAGGGUUCUACUACUGACUCAUCAAUUUCCCAGUCGCAACAACAGGUUGUUUCUACAGCACGAUUGGACACUGACAUAAAUGCAUAAUUAAUGGCAAAAGCUGAUGCACAGAAUUUUGAAAGCCCCACCGCGCAGCCUUCAUCUCCAGCUUCGUCUAGCAGAUGACCACCGACCCACCCUAGCUUGAACUCUAGAAGUUCUACAAUAGAAUUUUUAAGGAGCACAAUAAAAUAUUGGAGACUUAUCGUAGCCAAUGAUAGAUGUUCGAUCGUCUAAAUCAUCACCUAAUAUGUCAAGGACAAACUUGAUAAUAGGAUCAUUGUGUUGCAAGAGAAUCUUGUUGACAAUGUUUUUGAAGUCAUCAAUAACUGAGGAUGAUGAUAGAUUUUAGUAAUUUAUUUUCUCAUGGAAUUGGCUAUCAAGCACAGGGAUUGGAUGUGUAAAUCAUAUAUGGUUUCAUUUUUGUGACAAGACACUCAUCCUUGAUGGCCAUGCGGUUCAAAAUAUUAUCUUUAAUGUUUUGUGGUAACUCGGAUAUUCUAUCUAUACCACGUUCUUCAUUACAACGAUUCACAUAGUCUAGUUCAAAGAAGCACCAGAGACCUAAAGACAAGCUAUAAGCCGAUGAUUCUACGCCAGAUCAUGCGUUCCGGGCUUGAACUUUUGGGUUCGGGCGUUAAAUCCUUGGAGAAUGCCAUGGAAUUCAGCUUGUAUUGACCAAGGGUCGGACCUAUGGCCGAGCCGGGCUUUGCUACUCCAGCAUCGAUGGUGAAAUCGGCAUGAUUGGGUUAUGGAAAUUGGGCUCAGAAAAAGUGGGAGUCAGUUGGGUGUGAAUUGUGAUUAAGUUGUGUUGGUUAAGCCUAGUCCCGUUAUGUUAGUUCAGUGGGUUUCACUUGCGAAUAGAGUUUUGAGGGUUUGAGCCCAAAUUUCAAUUAAGGACCGGUAUUUAACUUUUCUCCAUGCUAUUCAUUAAAAUAUCUUGUUGUAUUGAAAAUUCAGUGGUUAUUUGUGAUUGGUUUGGAUUGAUUAGGUUAAAGAAAUUUGAGAGCUAUCGAGUUUUGAGGUCCGACUUGAAUCUAACCAUUGAGAAAUGUUGAGAUUGGUGUUAGGAUGUUAGAUUAUAAAAUUUGGAGUCACUUGGAGUUGAUUUGGUCCGAUUUGGAUCAAUUUUGGAGCAAAAAAGUGUGGUGAAAUUUCUCAAGAACCUCCAAUGUUCUGCCCAACCCUGUCAACAAUUUAUUUCAAUGUUAUGACCCAAUUUAUAUGAGAUACUGGUGAUUUACUAGGA